AACCCUUCCCAAUAACGUACGGGANAACCCGUUGAAAGACGGCCUAAUACCGUAUGAUAUCGUUUGCUGACAUCAAAUAACGAUUAAAGGUUUAGCGGUUAUGGAUGGGGAUGCGUCUGAUUAGCUUGUUGGCAGGGUAACGGCCCACCAAGGCAACGAUCAGUAGGGGUUCUGAGAGGAAGGUCCCCCACAUUGGAACUGAGACACGGUCCAAACUCCUACGGAGGCAGCAGCA
rnacentral:rRNA from 1 species